GUUAUGUUUUGGGAAGUGGGUUAGGGUUUGAUUGUGAGGAUCUUGAGGGAGAUGGUGAUGAGGGUGGAGCAGAGAGUGAUGGUGAAGAUGCUGAUGAU